UACGUAGGUGGCAAGCGUUGUUCGGAAUUACUGGGCGUAAAGCGCGUGUAGGCGGCUCUUCAAGUCAGACGUGAAAGCCCCGGGCUUAACUCGGGAACUGCGUUUGAUACUGUCGAGCUAGAGUGUGGAAGGGGCGAUUGGAAUUCCGUGUGUAGCGGUGAAAUGCGUAGAUAUCAGGAGGAACACCAAUGGCGAAGGCAGCUCGCUGGGACGGUACUGACGCUGAGGCACGAAAGCGUGGGGAGCAAACAGG
rnacentral:rRNA from 1 species